GGCUGGAUCACGGGGGUGGGGCCUGACGGGAGGUGGCUGGAUCACGGGGGUGGACUUCUCAUGUUUUAGUACCAUCCCCUUGGUGCUUCCUCGUGAUAGCAAAGGGGCGAUGGAUCCUGCUUCUCGGGUCUGUAUGAGAUGAGAUGAAAUGACAAUUCCUAAUAUGGAUGAGGAAGUGGAGCAACAGAGACUCCCAGGCUGCCAGUGGAGCUGCUGUGGAGAAUGGUUUGGCAAUAUUUAAUGCAUGCCCCAGAAAAUCAGUAGUCCCAUUUCCAGGGGAAAGCAUGAACACAGCCCCCAUGACCACAGAUGACGCAGCCGAGUUUCCCACUUUUGGGGAAAUUGCAGGGGUCAGCACGUCUGGAGUGCAGUGGAUAAGCCUCACCCCAGGAAGACCACUUUCGUGAUCACGGCAUCUCCCCUGCCAGGUGAGUACGCUGAUCAUUUUUAGUCUGGGUGAGAGGCUCUCUCUACUUUUGUGUAUGUUUGAAAUUUUCUGUAAAGUUUUUUUUUUUUUUUUUUCAGACUGAGUUUCGCUCUUGUUGUCCAGGCUGGAGUGCAGUGUUGUGGUGUCGGCUCACUGCAACAUCCGCUUCCUGGGUUCAAGCGAUUCUCCUGCCUCAGCCUCCCAAGUAGUUGGGAUUACAGGCAUGUGCCACCACACCCGGCUAAUUUGUAUUUUUAGUAGAGACUGGGUUUCACCAUGUUGGCCAGGCUGGUCUCAAAACUCCUGACCUCAGGUGAUCUGCUGCCUCGGCCUCCCAAAGUGCUAGGAUUACAGGCGUGAGCCACCACGCCUGGCCAAAGUUUUUUUUAAAAAAGAGAAUCUGCAGGAAGAACAGGUCUGGAGUCAGUUUUCACCUUGCAUCAAGCGCAUGUUCCCUAGCUCCUUUUCACCAAAACCUGUCCCCCUAGUUGUGGAUUGGACCAUCCCCAUCUACCCUUUCCUAUGCGCUCCUGUGCCUGUAAGAUAGGAUGACAGCAGCCUGUUCCCAAACCACAGAAGAGAUGGCUAAUGAAUGGAAUAGCCAACCUUUGGGCGUGGGAGUAAUCAUUCAAAAAAAUGUGGGGGGCUGGGGAGAUGCCAGAAUGGGCUUUCCAGUGAAGCAAAGACAGCCCCUGCCAGGGAGUCCCUCUCACCCCGGCGGCCAGGACCUAAGAUCUACCAAUGCCAAGAAUCCACUGAACUUUGCCUCUCCCCAGUUCCAACCGGCCUGGAAGCUUCCUCCACCUCCACACCCCCCGCCCCCACUGGGCUGACAGCCCAGUGCGACCCGUGGCCUCAUGUUCUCUCUUCCCUACGUGGCUGAGGCUGUCCCCACCUUGCCUGGAUCUCCUGCCUGGCACUGCCUGCGCAUGGAGAUGCUGGAAUGCCGGUUGCUAAGCCAGUGCAGAGUCCACACUGGCUCCUGGCAAGCACUGCAUCGAGCUGCCCUGCUGCUGCAGACGCAAGAUCCUCCACGUGUGGGACUGUCUCCUGCUCCACCAUGGCCCUCCUGGCUCUCGCUCCUCUCCGGCAGCCCACUUACCUGCCCUUGGAUUCUGGAGUCCCCCAAGCUGGCUUGGGAGCCUCUUUUGGCCUGGGUUGAGCAACCUACAAUCUCAAGCACACCUUGGCUCCCAAAACCAGCCUCCGGGGAGAGCCUCCCGUGUCCACCUCCCACAGGAUGUCUGUGCUGGGCCUGCAAAGCCGAAUGCCUACUUUGCCCUUGCAGUUGGAUGUCAACUCGCUUCACCUGUUCCAGGCCUUACUACCCUCCUUCAGACGGUCAGUGAUCUGCAUUUUAGCUCUUGGCACUGUCAUCCCACCAGAGAAGCAGUCAGGGACCUUGGACUCAGCCCCGCCCACAUCCACUCCACCUGCGAGCUCUGCCGACGCCACCCCACAAACCUCUCUGGGACAGUGCUCCCACCUCCCCACUCCACGCCACCAUCACUGCCCACUGAGAUGACAGUAAAGCCCCCACCCAUCAGCCCCCGGCCUGGAAGCCCUUUCAGAAUUGCAGUGGGAACCCUUCCCUGCCUAACCCACCAGCGGCCCCCCUUUGCUGUUGGGAUUUGGAAUAAAGCCCUUAACAUGCCCCCCGUGCCCUGCCUCUCACAAACUGCCCUGGACUCCUGUGCCCCUACCCUGUGCUCUUGAAUUUCCCUCUCAAAAGGGUUUUGUGAGUGUUGGCCUCAGCCUCCAGUGCCUCUCUCCCCGCUCUCCCGGGUCAUUUCCUUCUCUUUCUGCCAGGGAAACUUUCCGGAGUCCCCAUACUCACUCGGGUCUUCCAGUUAGAUGCUCUCAAUUCCUUCCUGGCUCAUAUGGUGGUCAUCUAGCACGCGGCUGGGCAUGCGUUCUGCUAACCUCUGGCUCUUCUGAUGCCAUGUAGGCGCCCCAGGGCAGGCACUGGUGUGGUUUUGCCCGUCCUUAUAUUCCCAGCGCCCAGCACAUGUCAUUAAGACAAGUUUGGAACAAGUGCCUGUCUUGGGGAAGUUAUUUCCUUCUCCAAGCCUCAGUGUAUCUAUCAAAUAGCCCUGCUUUCCCUGCAGGCUGUCACAAGCCUACAAAAUCCCCCAAACAAACACCCGCAGAAUGACAGAUGGCCUCCCUGCCCUGGUAGUGUCACUCUUCAAAUCAACUUCCCAGGCCCUGGAGGCAGGCGGCAGCAGGCUGUCAGCCUUCAGAGUCCCCAGAGUGAGACAGGGUCUCAUUUUGUCACCCAGGCUGGAGUGCAGUGGUCUGCUCCAGGCUCACUGCAACCUCGACCUCCCAGGCUCAAGCAAUCCUCCCACCUCAGCCUCCAGGAGUAGCUGGGAUUACAGGCACAUACCACUAUACUCGGCUACUUUUUAAAAUUUUUGGUAGAGAUGGGGUCCUGCUGUGUUGCCCAGGCUGGUUGUGAACUCCUGGGCUCAAGUGAUCCUCCCACCUCAGCCUCCCAAAGUGCUGGGAUUACAGGCUGGGCCACUGUGCCUGGCCUCUUUUAUAAUUUUCUUAACAUUUUAUCUUCUCUAGCUUACUUUAUUGCAAGCGUGUACUAUAUAAUACAUAUUGACAAAAUAUGUGGAAAUUGUUCUCAGUGAGGCAUCCAGUCAACAGUAGGCUAUCAGUAGUUAGGUUUUUGGAAAGUAAAAAGUUAUACAUAGAUCUUUGACUGCGUGUGGGGUCAGCACCCCUAACCCCUGUGUUGUUCAAGGGUCAACUGUGCUCUUUUGCAAGCUUUGAAGCAUGUGAACGCCAGCACCUACCCUGUUCUUGAGGAAAUCCAGCGUUCCCUUGAUACUUGACCUUAUCUAAACAGGACUGCCACGGAGACUUUACUCUGCAAAAGCAACAAUUUCAUCUUCACAAAGUUUCAAAUGGUAAAUAAAAAAAAAUCCCCUGAGGGCUUUUUGUUCACUGGAAAAUUCUCUCAUGCUAACAAACUUAAUUAUUGUAACUACAAAUAAAUCGUAAUCUUUCCUUUC